AUUUCUUGCUUUGAUAUACAACGGUUAAGUAUUUGGAAGUAAUGCCGUUGGGAAACGCGGCUUAAGUGCCUGAGUACAGCGGCAUGAUAUAUCAGCGGCCGAUAAAGCAGAGACUCGAGAGGUAGUAUUCCGCGAAGAUGUCCUCGUAGACAGUGGUUUUGUUAUAUCGUGACGGUGUUUAGAAUUUCGUGCGAGAACGAGCCCCGGGAGCUCGUUGCCUGCAUCGAUGACGAAACCGAGGCGCAGAAGGAGAGAACUCUGGACUCGAGUCUGACUUGGUGGGAGCGGCCGAAGGCCGGCGUUUUGUAACAACGAACAUACCGGGCUCCGGAACGCCUACGACGAAAUUUCGGCGCUGCUCACGAUUCCUGCCAACUAUCCCCGAAACUUGAAAACACUCCAUCAAGAAUCCACAAAGAGACGACAACCUGCGUGACAGUCUACAUUCUGUUAUAUACACACCACAACCUCUAAGGUUGUCGACACGAGACCACAUUCCUGCGACGUGGUUGGCGAUGAUGCGGGAGAGGCAAGCACGUGCCGCUGCCUCCGCGUCUCUUGCUGCUCGAUUUGGCCGUCAAACGGGGCCGAGAAGCGCCGGCCGGGACGUUUCUUCUCUGGCGAGUAUUUGCAGUCCGUGGAUGAACAUCUCUCUACCUUGGCGUCUCUGCUUCUUAGUCUUCUUUGGAAAUGGGCCUUAACG